rnacentral:rRNA from 1 species
CCUACGGGAGGCAGCAGUGGGGAAUAUUGCGCAAUGGGCGAAAGCCUGACGCAGCGACGCCGCGUGAGGGAUGAAGGUCUUCGGAUCGUAAACCUCUGUCAGCAGGGAAGAACGGUCACUGUGCUAAUCAGCAGUGAAUUGACGGUACCUGCAAAGGAAGCACCGGCUAACUCCGUGCCAGCAGCCGCGGUAAUACGGAGGGUGCGAGCGUUAAUCGGAAUUACUGGGCGUAAAGCGCUCGUCGUCGGUAUGUCAAGUCAAGGGUGAAAUCCCCGCGCUCAACGUGGGAACUGCCUUUGAAACUGGCAAACUGGGGUGUGUGAGAGGAUAGUGGAAUUCCAGGUGUAGGAGUGAAAUCCGUAGAUAUCUGGAGGAACAUCAGUGGCGAAGGCGACUAUCUGGCACAUAACUGACGCUGAGGAGCGAAAGCGUGGGUAGCAAACAGGAUUAGAUACCCCUGUAGUC